UACGUAGGGUGCAAGCGUUGUCCGGAUUCAUUGGGCGUAAAGAGCACGCAGGCGGUUUGGCAAGUCGGAUGUGAAAACCCGAAGCUCAACUUCGGGCGUGCAUCCGAAACUGCCCGACUAGAGGUAGGUAGGGGAGAUCGGAAUUCCUGGUGUAGCGGUGAAAUGCGCAGAUAUCAGGAGGAACACCGGUGGCGAAGGCGGAUC
rnacentral:rRNA from 1 species